rnacentral:rRNA from 1 species
CCUACGGGGGGCAGCAGUGGGGAAUAUUGGACAAUGGACCAAAAGUCUGAUCCAGCAAUUCUGUGUGCUUGAUGAAGGCCUUCGGGUUGUAAAGAGCUUUAAGUAGGGAAGAAGAAAGUGACGGUACCUACAGAAUAAGCGACGGCUAAAUACGUGCCAGCAGCCGCGGUAAUACGUAUGUCGCAAGCGUUAUCCGGAAUUAUUGGGCAUAAAGGGCGUCUAGGCGGUUUAGAAAGUCUGAUGUGAAAAUGCGGGGCUCAACCCCGUAUGGCGCUGGAAACUGUUAGGCUUGAGUGCAGGAGAGGAAAGGGGAAUUCCCAGUGUAGCGGUGAAAUGCGUAGAUAUUGGGAGGAACACCAGUGGCGAAGGCG